rnacentral:rRNA from 1 species
CUGGCGCUUCAAGAUGAGCCCACGUCCUAUCAGCUUGUUGGUGAGGUAAUGGCUCACCAAGGCUUACGGGUAGCUGGUCUGAGAGGAUGGUCAGCCACACUGGGACUGAGACACUGCCCAGACUCCUACGGGAGGCUGCAGUCGAGAAUCAUUCGCAAUGGGCGAAAGCCUGACGAUGCGACGCCGCGUGCAGGAUGACGGCCUUCGGGUUGUAAACUGCUGUGAUGGGGGAACAAGUGGCAGGCCGUGAAUAACGGCUUGUUUUGAUAGUACCCCAAGAGGAAGCCACGGCUAACUCUGUGCCAGCAGCCGCGGUAAUACAGAGGUGGCAAGCGUUGUUCGGAUUUACUGGGCGUAAAGGGUGCGUAGGCGGCUCCGUAUGUCGGAUGUGAAAUCCCACGGAUUAUCUGUGGAACGGCAUACGAAACUGCGGAGCUCGAGGACAGGAGAGGAGAGCGGAAUUCACGGUGUAGCGGUGAAAUGCGUUGAUAUCGUGAAGAACGCCGGUGGCGAAGGCGGCUCUCUGGACUGUUUCUGACGCUGAGGCACGAAAGCUAGGGGAGCAAACAGGAUUAGAUACCCUGGUAGUCCUAGCCGUAAACGGUGUGCACUUGGUGUGGGAGGAAUUAUCCCCCUUCCGUGCCGGAGCUAACGCGUUAAGUGCACCGCCUGCAGAGUACG